ACUCCUGCGGGAGGCAGCAGUGGGGAAUAUUGGACAAUGGGCGCAAGCCUGAUCCAGCCAUGCCGCGUGAGUGAUGAAGGCCCUAGGGUUGUAAAGCUCUUUCACCGGUGAAGAUAAUGACGGUAACCGGAGAAGAAGCCCCGGCUAACUUCGUGCCAGCAGCCGCGGUAAUACGAAGGGGGCUAGCGUUGUUCGGAUUUACUGGGCGUAAAGCGCACGUAGGCGGACUAUUAAGUCAGGGGUGAAAUCCCGGGGCUCAACCCCGGAACUGCCUUUGAUACUGGUAGUCUUGAGUUCGAGAGAGGUGAGUGGAAUUCCGGGUGUAGAGGUGAAAUUCGUAGAUAUUCGGAGGAACACCAGUGGCGAAGGCGGCUCACUGGCUCGAUACUGACGCUGAGGUGCGAAAGCGUGGGGAGCAAACAGGAUUAGAAACCCGAGUAGUCCCAUGA
rnacentral:rRNA from 1 species